CAAAUCCUUUCAGACUAGGACAAUUAGCCUCUGAAAUAACUAAUCCUUGAAGAGAGAAGAGGGACAGACUUUCUCUUUACUGAGGCAUGUUGUACUUUUCUCAGACUGGUCAACUUUUGGGGGCAGGACAGCUGUUCCAGAGCCAUGCUCAGCUCUGGGCCCACAUCUGGACACGGUGAUGAUAACAAAAGCAUAUUUGACAGAUAAGAGGAAUAGCAGUGCCCACAGGACUCCUGUGAAAGCACAGCCACAGAUCCUGAACAUACCACUUGCCACUGCUGAAAAAAUAUGGAGAGGACAGACACAUCUGGAGCAGAGGAAGGCAACAUCAUCAAAAAUGGCAG